UUGGGCGUAAGAGCUCGUAGGCGGUCUGUCGCGUCGGCUGUGAAAACCCGGAGCUCAACUCCGGGCCUGCAGUCGAUACGGGCAGACUGGAGUUCGGCAGGGGAGACUGGAAUUCCUGGUGUAGCGGUGAAAUGCGCAGAUAUCAGGAGGAACACCGGUGGCGAAGGCGGGUCUCUGGGCCGAUACUGACGCUGAGGAGCGAAAGCGUGGGGAGCGAACAGGAUUAGAUACCCUGGUAGUCCACGCCGUAAACGUUGGGCGCUAGGUGUGGGGGCCAUUCCACGGUUUCCGUGCCGCAGCUAACGCAUUAAGCGCCCCGCCUGGGGAGUACGGCCGCAAGGCUAAAACUCAAAGGAAUUGACGGGGGCCCGCACAAGCGGCGGAGCAUGUUGCUUAAUUCGAUGCAACGCGAAGAACCUUACCUAGGCUUGACAUGCACGGAAAUCUCGCAGAGAUGCGGGGUCCGUAAGGGUCGUGCACAGGUGGUGCAUGGUUGUCGUCAGCUCGUGUCGUGAGAUGUUGGGUUAAGUCCCGCAACGAGCGCAACCCUCGUUCCAUGUUGCCAGCACGUAGUGGUGGGGACUCAUGGGAGACUGCCGGGGUCAACUCGGAGGAAGGUGGGGAUGACGU
rnacentral:rRNA from 1 species